AGAACUUAGCAGAGAUGCUUUGGUGCCUUCGGGAACUCUGAGACAGGUGCUGCAUGGCUGUCGUCAGCUCGUGUUGUGAAAUGGUUGGGUUAAGUCCCGCAACGAGCGCAACCCUUAUCCUUUGUUGCCAGCGGUUAGGCCGGGAACUCAAAGGAGACUGCCAGUGAUAAACUGGAGGAAGGUGGGGAUGACGUCAAGUCAUCAUGGCCCUUACGAGUAGGGCUACACACGUGCUACAAUGGCGCAUACAAAGAGAAGCGACCUCGCGAGAGCAAGCGGACCUCAUAAAGUGCGUCGUAGUCCGGAUUGGAGUCUGCAACUCGACUCCAUGAAGUCGGAAUCGCUAGUAAUCGUGGAUCAGAAUGCCACGGUGAAUACGUUCCCGGGCCUUGUACACACCGCCCGUCACACCAUGGGAGUGGGUUGCAAAAGAAGUAGGUAGCUUAACCUUCGGGAGGGCGCUUACCACUUUGUGAUUCAUGACUGGGGUGAAGUCGUAACAAGGUAAGCGUAGAUGA
rnacentral:rRNA from 1 species